rnacentral:rRNA from 1 species
UACGUAGGGUGCAAGCGUUGUCCGGAAUUAUUGGGCGUAAAGAGCUUGUAGGUGGCUCGUCGCGUCGGGCGUGAAAACCCGCGGCUUAACCGCGGGCCUGCUUUCGAUACGGGCGGGCUAGAGUUCGGCAGGGGAGACUGGAAUUCCUGGUGUAGCGGUGGAAUGCGCAGAUAUCAGGAGGAACACCGGUGGCGAAGGCGGGUCUCUGGGCCGAUACUGACACUGAGAAGCGAAAGCGUGGGGAGCGAACAGG